rnacentral:piRNA from 1 species
UUAACUUGAGGACUGCCGACUCUAAU